UUAAGCGACUAAGCGUACACGGUGGAUGCCCUGGCAGUCAGAGGCGAUGAAGGACGUGCUAAUCUGCGAAAAGCGUCGGUAAGGUGAUAUGAACCGUUACAGCCGGCGAUGUCCGAAUGGGGAAACCCAGUGCAAUUCGUUGCACUAUCGUUAACUGAAUACAUAGGUUAACGAGGCGAACCGGGGGAACUGAAACAUCUAAGUACCCCGAGGAAAAGAAAUCAACCGAGAUUCCCCCAGUAGCGGCGAGCGAACGGGGAGCAGCCCAGAGUCUGAAUCAGCUUGUGUGUUAGUGGAACGGUCUGGAAAGUCCGACGGUACAGGGUGAUAGUCCCGUACACCAAAAUGCACAGGCUGUGAACUCGAAGAGUAGGGCGGGACACGUGGUAUCCUGUCUGAAUAUGGGGGGACCAUCCUCCAAGGCUAAAUACUCCUGACUGACCGAUAGUGAACCAGUACCGUGAGGGAAAGGCGAAAAGAACCCCGGCGAGGGGAGUGAAAAAGAACCUGAAACCGUGUACGUACAAGCAGUGGGAGCACCUUUAUGGUGUGACUGCGUACCUUUUGUAUAAUGGGUCAGCGACUUAUAUUCUGUAGCAAGGUUAACCGUAUAGGGGAGCCGCAGGGAAACCGAGUCUUAACUGGGCGUUAAGUUGCAGGGUAUAGACCCGAAACCCGGUGAUCUAGCCAUGGGCAGGUUGAAGGUUGGGUAACACUAACUGGAGGACCGAACCGACUAAUGUUGAAAAAUUAGCGGAUGACUUGUGGCUGGGGGUGAAAGGCCAAUCAAACCGGGAGAUAGCUGGUUCUCCCCGAAAGCUAUUUAGGUAGCGCCUCGUGAAUUCAUCUUCGGGGGUAGAGCACUGUUUCGGCUAGGGGGUCAUCCCGACUUACCAACCCGAUGCAAACUACGAAUACCGAAGAAUGUUAUCACGGGAGACACACGGCGGGUGCUAACGUCCGUCGUGAAGAGGGAAACAACCCAGACCGCCAGCUAAGGUCCCAAAGUCAUGGUUAAGUGGGAAACGAUGUGGGAAGGCACAGACAGCCAGGAUGUUGGCUUAGAAGCAGCCAUCAUUUAAAGAAAGCGUAAUAGCUCACUGGUCGAGUCGGCCUGCGCGGAAGAUGUAACGGGGCUAAACCAUGCACCGAAGCUGCGGCAGCGACACUAUGUGUUGUUGGGUAGGGGAGCGUUCUGUAAGCCUGCGAAGGUGACCUGUGAGGGUUGCUGGAGGUAUCAGAAGUGCGAAUGCUGACAUAAGUAACGAUAAAGCGGGUGAAAAGCCCGCUCGCCGGAAGACCAAGGGUUCCUGUCCAACGUUAAUCGGGGCAGGGUGAGUCGACCCCUAAGGCGAGGCCGAAAGGCGUAGUCGAUGGGAAACAGGUUAAUAUUCCUGUACUUGGUGUUACUGCGAAGGGGGGACGGAGAAGGCUAUGUUAGCCGGGCGACGGUUGUCCCGGUUUAAGCAUGUAGGCGGAGGUUCCAGGUAAAUCCGGUACCUUUUAACGCUGAGGUGUGAUGACGAGGCACUACGGUGCUGAAGUAACAAAUGCCCUGCUUCCAGGAAAAGCCUCUAAGCAUCAGGUAACAUUAAAUCGUACCCCAAACCGACACAGGUGGUCAGGUAGAGAAUACCAAGGCGCUUGAGAGAACUCGGGUGAAGGAACUAGGCAAAAUGGUGCCGUAACUUCGGGAGAAGGCACGCUGGUGUGUAGGUGAAGUCCCUGCGGAUGGAGCUGAGACCAGUCGAAGAUACCAGCUGGCUGCAACUGUUUAUUAAAAACACAGCACUGUGCAAACACGAAAGUGGACGUAUACGGUGUGACGCCUGCCCGGUGCCGGAAGGUUAAUUGAUGGGGUUAUCCGUAAGGAGAAGCUCUUGAUCGAAGCCCCGGUAAACGGCGGCCGUAACUAUAACGGUCCUAAGGUAGCGAAAUUCCUUGUCGGGUAAGUUCCGACCUGCACGAAUGGCGUAAUGAUGGCCAGGCUGUCUCCACCCGAGACUCAGUGAAAUUGAACUCGCUGUGAAGAUGCAGUGUACCCGCGGCAAGACGGAAAGACCCCGUGAACCUUUACUAUAGCUUGACACUGAACAUUGAGCCUUGAUGUGUAGGAUAGGUGGGAGGCUUUGAAGCGUGGACGCCAGUCUGCGUGGAGCCAACCUUGAAAUACCACCCUUUAAUGUUUGAUGUUCUAACGUUGGCCCCUUAUCGGGGUUGCGGACAGUGUCUGGUGGGUAGUUUGACUGGGGCGGUCUCCUCCCAAAGAGUAACGGAGGAGCACGAAGGUUAGCUAAUCCUGGUCGGACAUCAGGAGGUUAGUGCAAUGGCAUAAGCUAGCUUGACUGCGAGCGUGACGGCGCGAGCAGGUGCGAAAGCAGGUCAUAGUGAUCCGGUGGUUCUGAAUGGAAGGGCCAUCGCUCAACGGAUAAAAGGUACUCCGGGGAUAACAGGCUGAUACCGCCCAAGAGUUCAUAUCGACGGCGGUGUUUGGCACCUCGAUGUCGGCUCAUCACAUCCUGGGGCUGAAGUAGGUCCCAAGGGUAUGGCUGUUCGCCAUUUAAAGUGGUACGCGAGCUGGGUUUAGAACGUCGUGAGACAGUUCGGUCCCUAUCUGCCGUGGGCGCUGGAGAAUUGAGGGGGGCUGCUCCUAGUACGAGAGGACCGGAGUGGACGCAUCACUGGUGUUCGGGUUGUCAUGCCAAUGGCACUGCCCGGUAGCUAAAUGCGGAAGAGAUAAGUGCUGAAAGCAUCUAAGCACGAAACUUGCCCCGAGAUGAGUUCUCCCUGAGACUUUAAGUCUCCUGAAGGAACGUUGAAGACGACGACGUUGAUAGGCCGGGUGUGUAAGCGCAGCGAUGCGUUGAGCUAACCGGUACUAAUGAACCGUGAGGCUUAACCUU
rnacentral:rRNA from 1 species